UUGAAUAUGAGCUCGAAGAGGCUCAUGGUCCUUUGCAAAUAACUUUCUGAAUAUAAUGUUUAAAACUUAGGCUUAGAGAGUCCUUCUUUCUGAAGAGCUCAAGUUAUUUCAUCCUUGUCACCUCAUUUACCCCCCUUGGCAUUUCUGUGAGAUGCAUAGGCACAUGGUAUUGUCAUUUUUGAUUAGAGAAAGUGUGUUACCA
rnacentral:lncRNA from 1 species